rnacentral:rRNA from 1 species
UACGAAGGGUGCAAGCGUUACUCGGAAUUACUGGGCGUAAAGCGUGCGUAGGUGGUUCGUUAAGUCUGUCGUGAAAGCCCCGGGCUCAACCUGGGAAUGGCGAUGGAUACUGGCGAGCUAGAGUGCGGUAGAGGAGAGUGGAAUUCCCGGUGUAGCAGUGAAAUGCGUAGAGAUCGGGAGGAACAUCAGUUGCGAAGGCGGCAUCCUGGACCAACACUGACACUGAGGAGCGAAAGCCAGGGGAGCAAACGGG